AGAAUUGAUCUGGUUCAGGAUGAACGCUAGCUACAGGCUUAACACAUGCAAGGUCGAGGGGCAUCGAGAAGUUAGCUUGCUAACUUUGUCGGCGACCGGCGCACGGGUGAGUAACGCGUAUCCAACCUUCCCCUUAGUAGGGGAUAGCCCGGCGAAAGUCGGAUUAAUACCCUAUGUUAUCCGAAGAGGACAUCUGAAUUGGAUCAAAGGUUUACCGCUAAGGGAUGGGGAUGCGUCUGAUUAGGUAGUAGGCGGGGUAACGGCCCACCUAGCCAACGAUCAGUAGGGGUUCUGAGAGGAAGGUCCCCCACAUUGGAACUGAGACACGGUCCAAACUCCUACGGGAGGCAGCAGUGAGGAAUAUUGGUCAAUGGGCGAGAGCCUGAACCAGCCAAGUAGCGUUGCAGGAUGACGGCCCUAUGGGUUGUAAACUGCUUUUAUGGCGGGGAAUAAAAUUCGUCACGUGUGGCGUUUUGCAGGUACCGCAUGAAUAAGGACCGGCUAAUUCCGUGCCAGCCGCCGC
rnacentral:rRNA from 1 species